rnacentral:misc_RNA from 1 species
UAUAAGUUGAUCAACGCUUUUUUAGGGCGAGGAUAUCGAUUACAUUCUAUGAGACAUACGAUGGGUUGAUGAUAAGACAUAGGUCACCUUUUUUAAGGGCGACCUACAUUAAGUGCACAGGUGUAAAGUGGAUUAAGGGCUCGAGCGUGCACAUGCCCCGAGAGGCCAGCGACAACCCUCGCCCGUAAUUCAAUAAUGAUCCUUCCGCAGGUUCACCUACGGAAA